ensembl:lncRNA
ACACACACAGACAAACCAUCACUUAUUACACACACACACACACACACACACACACACACACACACUCACACACACACACACACAGACAAAUCAUCACUUAUUACUCACGCACACACACACAGACACACACAGUUAGUCAGAACAUCACCUAUUACAAACACACAGACACACAGGCCAUCACAUAAGACACACACACACACACAGGCCAUCACAUAAGACACACACACACACAGGCCAUCACAUAAGACACACACACACACAGGCCAUCACAUAAGACACACACACACACAGGCCAUCACAUAAGACACACACACACACAGGCCAUCACAUAAGACACACACACAGGCCAUCACAUAAGACACACACACACACAGGCCAUCACAUAAGACACACACACAUACAGGCCAUCACAUAAGAAACACAGACACACAAACACAGGCCAUCACAUAAGACACACACACACACACAGGCCAUCACAUAAGACAAACACACACACAGGCCAUCACAUAAGACACACACACACACACACACAACAAAUACACACACACACACACACACAUACAGGCCAUCACAUAAGACACACACACAUACAGGCCAUCACAUAAGACACACACACACAUACAGGCCAUCACAUAAGACACACACACACACAGGCCAUCACAUAAGACACACACACAUACAGGCCAUCACAUAAGACACACACACAGACAGGCCAUCACAUAAGACACACACACACACACACACACAGGCCAUCACAUAAGACACACACACAUACAAGCCAUCACAUAAGACACACACACACACACACAGGCCAUCACAUAAGACACACACACACACAGGCCAUCACAUAAGACACACACACACACAGGCCAUCACAUAAGACACACACACACACAGGCCAUCACAUCAGACACACAAACACACACACAGAGGCCAUCACAUAAGACACACACACAUACAGGCCAUCACAUAAGACACACACACACACACACAGGCCAUCACAUAAGACACACACACAUACAGGCCAUCACAUAAGACACACACACACACACACACACAGGCCAUCACAUAAAACACACACACAUACAGGCCAUCACAUAAGACACACAAACACACACAGACCAUCAAAUAAGACACACACACACACACACACAGAACAUCACAUAAGACACACACACACACAUACAGGCCAUCACAUAAGACACACACACACACACGCAUGCAUGCACAAGCACUCACCCACGCACACAUGCACGCACACACACACUCACGCACACUCACACACACACACACCCACGCACACACACACACACCCACGCACACACGCACACACACACACACACUAUCACAUAUUACACACACACAGUGAGAGUGAGAGAGACAGAGAUAGAGGGAGAGAGAAGGGGGAGAGAGCAUCACCUAUUAUAAACACACACACACACAGGCCAUCACAUACGUAAGACACACACACACACACACACACACACACACACACAGGCCAUCACAUACGUAAGACACACACACACACAGGCCAUCACAUACGUAAGACACACACACACACAGGCCAUCACAUACGUAAGACACACACACAAACACACACACACACAGGCCAUCACAUACGUAAGACACACACACACACACACACACACACACAGGCCAUCACAUAUGUAAGACACACACACACACACACACACACACACACACACAGGCCAUCGCAUUUGACAAGCAAGAAGAUAAAACAAUCUGAUACUUAAGAGCAUACGUUUGGAGAACUAACUUUCAGUUUGAUCUUUAGAUUUGAUCUGAUAGAGAGAGUGAAGUUUCCAGAACAGACACACCCAUACGCAAACACACACGCACACGCACAAACACACACACACACACACACACACACACACACACAGACACACACACAGACACACACACACACACACACACACACACACACACACACACACACACAUACACACACC